GUUCCAGCCAUCUCUGUGUCACAAAUUCAUAGCUUUGUCAGAUAAGGAAGGAAAACUACUUCGAAAUUAUACUCAAAAUAUAGAUACCUUGGAGCAGGUUGCAGGAAUCCAAAGGAUCAUUCAGUGUCAUGGUUCCUUUGCAACAGCAUCUUGCCUGAUUUGUAAAUACAAAGUUGAUUGUGAAGCUGUUCGUGGAGAUAUUUUUAAUCAGGUAGUUCCUCGGUGUCCUAGGUGCCCAGCUGAUGAGCCACUUGCCAUCAUGAAGCCAGAGAUUGUCUUCUUUGGUGAAAACUUACCAGAACAGUUUCAUAGAGCCAUGAAGUAUGACAAAGAUGAAGUUGACCUCCUCAUUGUUAUUGGGUCUUCUCUGAAAGUAAGACCAGUAGCACUAAUUCCAAGUUCUAUACCCCAUGAAGUGCCUCAAAUAUUAAUAAAUAGGGAACCUCUGCCUCAUCUACAUUUUGAUGUAGAGCUUCUUGGAGACUGCGAUGUCAUAAUUAAUGAGUUGUGUCAUAGGUUAGGUGGCGAGUAUGCCAAACUUUGUUGUAACCCUGUAAAGCUUUCAGAAAUUACUGAAAAACCUCCACGAACACAAAAGGAAUUGGUUCAUUUAUCAGAGUUGCCACCAACACCUCUUCAUAUUUCAGAAGACUCAAGUUCACCUGAAAGAACUGUACCACAAGACUCUUCUGUGAUUGCUACACUUGUAGACCAAACAAUAAAGAACAAAGUUGACGAUUUAGAAGUAUCUGAACCAAAAAGUUGUGUGGAAGAAAAAUCACAGGAAGUACAGACUUAUAGGAAUGUUGAGAGCAUUAAUGUGGAAAACCCAGAUUUCAAGGCUGUUGGUUCCAGUACUGGAGACAAAAAUGAAAGAACUUCUGUUGCAGAAACAGUGAGAAAAUGCUGGCCUAAUAGACUUGCAAAGGAGCAGAUUAGUAAGCGUCUUGACGGUAAUCAAUACUUGUUUGUACCACCAAAUCGUUACAUAUUUCAUGGUGCUGAGGUAUACUCAGACUCUGAAGAUGACGCCUUAUCCUCUAGUUCCUGUGGCAGUAACAGUGACAGUGGCACAUGCCAGAGUCCAAGUUUAGAAGAACCCUUGGAAGAUGAAAGUGAAAUUGAAGAGUUCUACAAUGGCUUGGAAGAUGAUGCUGACAGACCGGAGUGUGCUGGAGGAUCUGGAGCUGACGGAGGGGAUCAAGAGGCAGUUAAUGAAGCUAUAGCCAUGAAACAGGAAUUAACAGAUGUAAACUGUACACCAGACAAAUCAGAGCACUAUUGAAGCUGUCCAGGUACAGGAAUUGCUCCACCAGCAUUGGGAACUUUAGCAUGUCAAAAAUGAAUGUUUACUGUGAACUUGAACAAGGAGAUCAGAAAGAUGUAUUAUUUAUAGACUGGAAAAUAGAUUGUCUUCUUGGAUAAUUUUUAAAGUUCCAUCAUUUCUGUACUUUAAUCAGCUGUUGGCUGACUUCAUCUUCCUUUCAAGGUUCAUUUGUAUGAUACAUUCGUAUGUAUAUAAUUUCUUCGUUUUUGCCUAAUUGAGUUUCAACAUUUUAAAGUUUUCAAAAGCCAUUGGAAUGUUAAUGUAAAGGGAACAGCUUAUCUAGACCAAAGAAUGGUAUUUCACACUUUUGUUUGUAACAUUGAAUAGUUUGAAACCCUCAAUUUCUGUUCUGCUGAACUUUUAUUUUUAGCACAGUUAACUUUUUAAACACUGGCAUUUUCCAAAAUUUAUGGCAGCUAACUUUUUAAAAUCACAAAUGACUUGUAAUGUGAGAAGGAAGUCAGCAUCGCAUUGGGAGCUCAGAGUUUGAGCAUAUUUAUUGCAUGGUUUUUUGUACUUGCUGCAGACGUGGUAAUGUCCAAACAGGCCCCUGAGACUAAUCUGAUAAAUGAUUUGGAAAUGUUUCAGUUCUUCUAGAAACUAUUGUGCCUGUCUAUAUAGGUCCCCUUAGUUUGAAUAUUUGCCAUUGUUUAAUUAAAUACCUAUCACUGUGGUAGAGCCUCCAUAGAUCUUCACCACAAAUACUGCCAAGAUGUGAAUUUGAAUAUGCAAAGCCUUUCUGACCCUAAUGAUGGUACUUCUACUGGGGAGAGUGUAAUAUUUUGGACUGCUGUUUUUCCAUUAACAAGGAAGCAAAGGUCUCUUAAUUAAAGUUCCAAAGUAAUAAGAUUAAUUGUAACUCAACCAGAAAGUACAUUGUCUCCUGUUGAGGAUUUGGUGUAAUGUAUCCCAAGGGAUGUGUAUUAUGGAGAUGAAUACAAAUCCAAUAGUCAAUGAAACUAGUUCCUAUUUAUUUAAAAGCUUAGCUUGCCUUAAAACUAGGGAUCAAUUUUCUGAACUGCAGAAACUUUUAGCCUUUCAAACAGUUCACACCUCAGAAGGUCAGUAUUUUACAGACUUCUUUGGAACAUUGCCCCCAAAUUUAAAUAUUCACGUUGGUUUAGUAUUUAUUACAAAAAAAUGAUUUGAAAUAUAGCUGUUCUUUAUGCAUAAAAUACCCAGCUAGGACCGUUACUGCCAGAGGAUAAAGUAUUAAGUAGCUCAUUUCCCUACCUAAAAUAUUCUCAAUCUGAAUUUAUUUGGCUACACUAAAGAAUGCAGUAUAUUUAGUUUUCCAUUUGCAUGAUGUGUUUGUGCUAUAGACAAUAUUUUAAAUUGAAAAAUUUGUUUUAAAUUAUUUUUACAGUGAAGACUGUUUUCAGCUCUUUUUAUAUUGUACAUAGACUUUUAUGUAAUCUGGCAUAUGUUUUGUAGACCGUUUAAUGACUGGAUUAUCUUCCUCCAACUUUUGAAAUACAAAAACAGUGUUUUAUACUUGUAUCUUGUUUUAAAGUCUUAUAUUAAAAUUGUCAUUUGACUUUUUCCCCGU
rnacentral:lncRNA from 1 species